CCUACGGGGGGCUGCAGUGGGGAAUAUUGGACAAUGGGGGGAACCCUGAUCCAGCCAUGCCGCGUGUGUGAAGAAGGCCCUCGGGUUGUAAAGCACUUUCAGUGAGGAAGAACGCCUGGUGGUUAAUACCCAUCAGGAAAGACAUCACUCACAGAAGAAGCACCGGCUAACUCCGUGCCAGCAGCCGCGGUAAUACGGAGGGUGCAAGCGUUAAUCGGAAUUACUGGGCGUAAAGCGCGCGUAGGUGGCUUGAUAAGCCGGUUGUGAAAGCCCCGGGCUCAACCUGGGAACGGCAUCCGGAACUGUCAAGCUAGAGUGCAGGAGAGGAAGGUAGAAUUCCCGGUGUAGCGGUGAAAUGCGUAGAGAUCGGGAGGAAUACCAGUGGCGAAGGCGGCCUUCUGGACUGACACUGACACUGAGGUGCGAAAGCGUGGGUAGCAAACAGGAUUAGAUACCCUUGUAGUC
rnacentral:rRNA from 1 species